CUGCUAUACAUGCAGUCGAGCGAACGGACGAGAAGCUUGCUUCUCUGAUGUUAGCGGCGGACGGGUGAGUAACACGUGGAUAACCUACCUAUAAGACUGGGAUAACUUCGGGAAACCGGAGCUAAUACCGGAUAAUAUUUUGAACCGCAUGGUUCAAAAGUGAAAGACGGUCUUGCUGUCACUUAUAGAUGGAUCCGCGCUGCAUUAGCUAGUUGGUAAGGUAACGGCUUACCAAGGCAACGAUGCAUAGCCGACCUGAGAGGGUGAUCGGCCACACUGGAACUGAGACACGGUCCAGACUCCUACGGGAGGCAGCAGUAGGGAAUCUUCCGCAAUGGGCGAAAGCCUGACGGAGCAACGCCGCGUGAGUGAUGAAGGUCUUCGGAUCGUAAAACUCUGUUAUUAGGGAAGAACAUAUGUGUAAGUAACUGUGCACAUCUUGACGGUACCUAAUCAGAAAGCCACGGCUAACUACGUGCCAGCAGCCGCGGUAAUACGUAGGUGGCAAGCGUUAUCCGGAAUUAUUGGGCGUAAAGCGCGCGUAGGCGGUUUUUUAAGUCUGAUGUGAAAGCCCACGGCUCAACCGUGGAGGGUCAUUGGAAACUGGAAAACUUGAGUGCAGAAGAGGAAAGUGGAAUUCCAUGUGUAGCGGUGAAAUGCGCAGAGAUAUGGAGGAACACCAGUGGCGAAGGCGACUUUCUGGUCUGUAACUGACGCUGAUGUGCGAAAGCGUGGGGAUCAAACAGGAUUAGAUACCCUGGUAGUCCACGCCGUAAACGAUGAGUGCUAAGUGUUAGGGGGUUUCCGCCCCUUAGUGCUGCAGCUAACGCAUUAAGCACUCCGCCUGGGGAGUACGACCGCAAGGUUGAAACUCAAAGGAAUUGACGGGGACCCGCACAAGCGGUGGAGCAUGUGGUUUAAUUCGAAGCAACGCGAAGAACCUUACCAAAUCUUGACAUCCUUUGACAACUCUAGAGAUAGAGCUUUCCCCUUCGGGGGACAAAGUGACAGGUGGUGCAUGGUUGUCGUCAGCUCGUGUCGUGAGAUGUUGGGUUAAGUCCCGCAACGAGCGCAACCCUUAAGCUUAGUUGCCAUCAUUAAGUUGGGCACUCUAAGUUGACUGCCGGUGACAAACCGGAGGAAGGUGGGGAUGACGUCAAAUCAUCAUGCCCCUUAUGAUUUGGGCUACACACGUGCUACAAUGGACAAUACAAAGGGCAGCGAAACCGCGAGGUCAAGCAAAUCCCAUAAAGUUGUUCUCAGUUCGGAUUGUAGUCUGCAACUCGACUACAUGAAGCUGGAAUCGCUAGUAAUCGUAGAUCAGCAUGCUACGGUGAAUACGUUCCCGGGUCUUGUACACACCGCCCGUCACACCACGAGAGUUUGUAACACCCGAAGCCGGUGGAGUAACCUUUUAGGAGCUAGCCGUCGAAG
rnacentral:rRNA from 1 species